ensembl:lncRNA novel transcript, antisense to EBF3
AUCUAAGUAUGAGUACAGAAAAAUGUUUGGAGGCAUUUUUCAUCAGCGUUUCAUGAUCAUCAAAAUGGUGCAUUCACAAAGUUUCUCCCAACACAUAGCAAUUACUAGACAUGGCCAAGACGGAGUCGGAAACUUUAUACAAAAUAGGCGUCGCUUUGUUUUCCUUAUUCUUCAGGACUGAGAAAUGUGAAAAUAUGAGAAAAGUUCAGUCAAUAAAAUGGAAUUGUUCAUGAAGAAGUAGGCUGUUUGCAUGUUGAUUCUUAAUAGUUUAAAUAAAAUCUUUAAACAAA